CCUACGGGUGGCAGCAGUAGGGAAUCUUGCACAAUGGGCGCAAGCCUGAUGGAGCAACACCGCGUGAGGGAAGAAGGGUCUCGGAUUGUAAAGCUCUGUUGGUGGAGAAGAAAGUGCGUGAGAGUAACUGUUUACGCAGUGACGGUAUCCAACCAGAAAGUCACGGCUAACUACGUGCCAGCAGCCGCGGUAAGACGUAGGAGGCUAGCGUUAGCCGGAUUUAUUGGGCGUAAAGGGAGCGCAGGCGGUUGUUUAGGUGUGAUGUGAAAGCCCUGGGCUUAACCUCAGAAGUGCAUCGGAAACUGGGGAACUUGAGUGCAGAAGAGGCCAGUGGAACGCCAGGUGUAGCGGUGAAAUGCGUAGAUAUAAGGCAGAACACCGAUGGCGAAGGCAGCUGACUGGUCUGCAACUGACGCUGAGGCUCGAAAGCGUGGGUAGCGAACAGGAUUAGAUACCCGUGUAGUC
rnacentral:rRNA from 1 species